rnacentral:rRNA from 1 species
CAGCCGCCGCGGUAAUACGAGGGGGGCAAGCGUUGUUCGGAAUUAUUGGGCGUAAAGGGUGCGUAGGCGGUUUCGUAAGUCUGAUGUGAAAUCUAUGGGCUCAACUCAUAGUCUGCAUCGGAAACUGCGAGGCUUGAGAGUGGGAGAGGUGAGUGGAAUUUCCGGUGUAGCGGUGAAAUGCGUAGAUAUCGGAAGGAACACCUGUGGCGAAAGCGGCUCACUGGACCAUUUCUGACGCUGAUGCACGAAAGCUAGGGGAGCAAACAGGAUUAGAUACCCCUGUAGUCCCUGUCUCUUAUAU